UACGUAGGUGGCGAGCGUUACUCGGAAUUACUAGGCGUAAAGCGCGUGUAGGCGGGAGCUUAAGUCUGCUGUUAAAUCUAAGGGCCCAACCCUUAAAUGCCGGCGGAUACUGGGUUUCUUGAAUUCGGUAGAGGUAACUGGAAUUCCAUGUGUAGCGGUGAAAUGCGUAGAUAUAUGGAAGAACGCCAAAGGCGAAAGCAGGUUACUGGGCCGCAAUUGACGCUGAGACGCGAAAGCUAGGGGAGCAAACAGGAUUAGAUACCCUGGUAGUCCUAGCCGUAAACGAUGUAGACCAGGUGUGGGAGGUAUCGACCCCUCCCGUGCCGACGCUAACGCAUUAAGUCUACCGCCUGGGGAGUACGGCCGCAAGGCUAAA
rnacentral:rRNA from 1 species